rnacentral:ncRNA from 1 species
UUAAAGAUUGCUUUUAUAAAUUUUAAAUUUGAUUAUAAUUUAAAAAGUUUUAAAAUAACAUUAUUUAAUUUUAAUUUGUGUAAUGGGCAAUAAAAUAUUACCCUGGUAAUUUAUUGUUUGUAUAAUACUUGUUCCAGAAUAAUCGGCUAGGCUUGUUAAAAUUUAAACUUUAUUUUGGGUUAAUUAUAAUAUAUUUUGAUAUAAUAAAAUUUAAACAGUUUUAGGUUAAAUUUAAAUUGUUUUUUUUUUUAUGUUAUAAUUUUAAGUUUUGUUAAACGAAUUAGAUUAGUACCUAAUUAGACAAAUUUUAAAAGUGCAGAAGUAAAGUUGGGUUUAAACUGAAAGAAUAUUGGCAGAUUUUCUAAAUUAUCUUUGGAGGUUGAGUGAUAAAUGAGAACCCCCAUUAACUACUAGUUUUUUUGGCUCAUGUAUGAUCGUUUAUUUUAUGCUUAAAGUGUAUAAUAAAAAAUUUUUAAUUUUUUAAAAUAGAUAUAUAUUUGGUUAAUAAAAAAGUAAUAUUUGGCCUACAUUGCUGUAAUUUGUGGAUAUUAAAUGUGGUAUUUAAUUGAAAAUGUAAAAGACAGUAAAAAAAUUUUUAUGGUUUUUUGAAGAGUAUUUAGAAGUGGUACAAAUCAUCCAUCAAUUGCCCCCAGGGGAGUAAGUUGUAGUAAAGUAGAUUUAGGGGAACCUGAAUCUAAUAUUAA